rnacentral:rRNA from 1 species
UACGAAGGGGGCUAGCGUUGUUCGGAAUUACUGGGCGUAAAGCGUGCGCAGGCGGUUCUCCAAGUCAGUGGUGAGAGCCCGGAGCUCAACUCCGGAACUGCCAUUGAAACUGUAGAGCUAGAGUACGAGAGAGGUGAGUGGAAUUCCCAGUGUAGAGGUGAAAUUCGUAGAUAUUGGGAAGAACACCGGUGGCGAAGGCGGCUCACUGGCUCGUAACUGACGCUGAGGCGCGAAAGCGUGGGGAGCAAACGGG